AAGUCGUAACAAGGUUUCCGUAGGUGAACCUGCGGAAGGAUCAUUACCUUUCAAUGCAGCAGAAUUGGGAUGGUUGAGUAUCUCGCCUCUCCGUUCUGCCUGUAUUCUACCCUUGUUUGUCAUAUACUAUUAUUUCCUCGGCAGGCUUGCCUGCCGAGUGAAGCCAUUUAUAACCUUUUUAAUUUUCAAUCAGCGUCUGAAAAAAAUUAAUAAUUACAACUUUCAACAACGGAUCUCUUGGUUCUG
rnacentral:misc_RNA from 1 species